rnacentral:rRNA from 1 species
GACGUAGGGGGCAAGCGUUGUUCGGAAUUAUUGGGCGUAAAGCGCUCGUAGGCGGAUUGUACAGUCAGGCGUGAAAUUCCCGGGCUCAACCUGGGGGCUGCGCUUGAGACGUGCGAUCUUGAGUGGGGAAGAGGGUCGUGGAAUUCCCAGUGUAGAGGUGAAAUUCGUAGAUAUUGGGAAGAACACCGGUGGCGAAGGCGGCGACCUGGUCCUUGACUGACGCUGAGGCGCGAAAGCGUGGGGAGCAAACAGG